GCUAUCAGCCAUACCAUCCUGAAUUCACUGAUCUCUUCUGAUCUGGGAAGGUAAACAGGUUGAGCAGGGUUAGUACUUGGAUGGGAGACAAGAUAUUUUAGAGGCCAGCCUGAGCU
rnacentral:rRNA from 1 species